CCAUCCUGAACCAUUACAGUUUGAGCCACACCGGAGGCCGUCUGCUGGGUGACCGUUAGAUUCCAGCCUGCUCCAUUUGCACCAAGAGGGGUGCAUCAUCAAAUACACGGCCAGAGCACUGAGAGAUAUCAGGUAUUGAUGUAACUGGAGUGAAUAAGGGAACCUUCUUCCUGAGCACAGACAUUGGAGCCUGUUAUCAGCAUGAACUCAUAUGUGUUAGACACGGCCAGAGCACUGAGAGAGGUAUUGAUGUAACUGGAGUGAAUAAGGGAACCUUCUUCCUGAGCACAGACAUUGGAGCCUCUUAUCAGCAUGAACUCAUAUGUGUUAGACCAACACAUGAAUAGUUCAUAUCCAUCCCUCACUACAGGAAGCAUCAGAAUGAUACCACAGACUCCAACAUUUUUAGACACUAAUGAAUAUUCACAAACAUUGGGGAAAUCACAUGAGAUAUUUAAAGGAGAUGGUGAAUUGGCAGGA